rnacentral:rRNA from 1 species
CUCGCGUGUCGUGUCAGCCGCCGCGGUAAUACGUAGGGAGCGAGCGUUGUCCGGAAUUACUGGGCGUAAAGGGCGCGUAGGCGGGAAAUUAAGUCAGGUGUGAAAACUCUGAGCUCAACUUGGAGAUUGCACUUGAAACUGGUAUUCUUGAGGGCAGGAGAGGAAAGUGGAAUUCCUAGUGUAGCGGUGAAAUGCGUAGAUAUUAGGAGGAACACCAGUGGCGAAGGCGACUUUCUGGACUGCACCUGACGCUGAGGCGCGAAAGCGUGGGUAGCGAACGGGAUUAGAUACCCCGGUAGUCCACGCUGUAAACGAUGGGUACUAGGUGUAGGAGGUAUCGACCCCUUNUGUGCCGCAGUUAACGCAAUAAGUACCCCGCUGGGGAGUACGGCCGCAAGGUUGAAACUUAAAGGAAUUGGCGGG